rnacentral:misc_RNA from 1 species
AUUAAGGAUGACGCAGCCCCUAACAGAAAGCCGCCUCUUUUUAACUCUUUCUUUGUUUUCCUUCCCUUUUCCCUCCUCUUCUUAACCCAAAACUUCUCCAUUUCUUCACUUACUCCCACAACUAUGUCACACUCCGCCACCCCUUAUGAAGUCGACGAAUGCCGAGGUGUCCUCCGCGUUUACAGCGAUGGCUCUAUCUGGCGUUCCACUGAGCCUAGCUUCAAGGUUCCUGUCCACGAUGAUGGCUCUGUUCUGUGGAAAGAUAUUAUCUUUGAUCCUGUGAAUAAUCUUCACCUUCGCCUCUACAAGCCAGCUUUUUCUUCUUCUUCGACCAAGCUUCCGAUCUUCUACUAUAUCCACGGUGGUGGGUUUUGUAUUGGGUCUCGAACUUGGCCUAAUUGUCAAAACUAUUGUUUCAAGCUUUGUUUGGAUCUUCAAGCUGUGAUUGUUUCGCCAGACUACCGUUUGGCUCCGGAAAACAGGCUUCCGGCGGCCAUUGAAGAUGGGUUCUUGGCUGUGAAAUGGCUUCAAGGUCAGGCGGUUUCUGAGGAGGCGGAUACAUGGCUGACUGAGGUGGCUGAUUUUGGGAAGGUGUUCAUUUCUGGUGAUUCUGCCGGUGGGAAUAUUGCUCAUCAUUUGGCUGUCCGGCUGGAGGUUGGUUCACCAGAGUUGGGUCCUGUUCAUGUCAGGGGUUAUGUGCUUUUGGCACCAUUUUUCGGUGGAACUGUGUGGUCUAAGUCGGAAGCUGAGGGACCAAAGGAUGCAUUCCUUAAUUUGGAGCUCAUUGACAGGUUUUGGAGAUUAUCAAUCCCCAUUGGAGAUACAACUGAUCACCACUUAGUGAACCCAUUUGGACCUCAGAGCAAGUGUCUUGAAUCAAUCAAACUUGACCCAAUCUUAGUAGUGGUGGGAGGAAGUGAUCUGCUGAAAGAUCGUGCCAAGGAUUAUUCAGAGAGAUUGAAAACUUGGGGAAAGAAGAUCCAGUACGUUGAGUUCGAAGAACAGCAACAUGGGUUCUUCACCAUUUAUCCCAACUCUGAACCAGCAUCCAAGUUGAUGCUUCUCAUCAAAAGUUUCAUUUCUGAAAAUUUUUGCUAAAAAUCUACAUUUGUAGCAAAUCACAUAACCUAGCAAUCUUACUUGUGUGCCAUAUGCCCUAAUGUUUAUUGUCGUCGUUUUUAUGUGCAAUUUUCCGUCAAUUUUUCUCGAUCACAACCACCAACUAUGAUGUCCCAGUUUAAA